UUCAGUUCCUCUUGACCUCAUCAAGACACUGUUGUCUAGAACCUUCUUUCUGCCCAUCACGGAAACCCGAGUGAAGGCUGAGUGCCCCAUGAGGGACCCGGGCUCUGACACAGACAGACUGUCCCGGCUGGAGUCCAGCUCCUGGACGACCUGGGUCUCCCCGUUCUGCACUGGUAUCGCGCGGUGAGGCGGCGCUGAUCAGAACCUCAAAAGACCUGACCCCGAACACCGUCAUCCCAAAUCCUGAGCUCCUGAAAGAUCAAAACCUAACAUGUUGGUGUUCUGACCAGUUUCUCUGUGAAUGGUUCAUCUGCACAUAACUCAUAUCCACGUGACUGAAUGAGCACACCUGUGUGUCUGUGCUGGAGAAAAUGUUAUGAUCACCGACUUUAUUGGGAUGUCAGCAUUCAGAACUGUGUCCCAGGAUCGUGGCCCAGACCCACAGGGCAGGGGCGUGCACUUUUGAGGGUUCUGAAGACGACUCAACAGGGUGCCUGACCUGCUGGUAAGGACUCAGGAGACCUCACCUGUCCUCGUCACACUCAUGGAAGGGGACUCCAGAUCCCUGGCGUAGCUGGUCUGGGAACUGGGGAGGGAUGGGCAGUGCCCGGUAUAGGGUGCAACCUCCAGUGCCCACAUUAGCACGUCUGUUGCUGUGAGAUUCUAUCCUGUGGACACCUGUGGCUGUAACACACACCUUCCCACUGCUGUCACAGGAGUGAUACUCUUUCCGAUUCUAACAUCAGUGUGUGCACAUUUUGGGAAAACCAGCAAGUACAGAAGAAGAAUUUAGGCCGGGCCCAGUGGCUCACGCCUGGAAUCCCAGCACUUCGGGAAGUCAAGGCAGGAGGAUCGCUGGAGGCCAGGAGUUUGAGAUCAGCCCGGGCAACAUAGUGAGACCUCAUCUCUAUUUAAGAAAGAAAAAGACCACUGGUCCUCCCAGUGUUUACAAGAUUUUUCCAUUAAAACAGGAGGGAUCAUAAUGAGCGGCCUAACAAAGACAUUUAAAGACACGCCAAGAAGGGGCGCAGACAGGAGUCCUGAGAUGCAGUCAUGGGAACCCGCACCUGUUUUCCCGCCCUGGGCACCCAGCGUGGACAGGCUGGCCGGUGCCAGGGUGAGCAGGGCAGGCUGAGGUCUCCAGUGGGUGGGGACAGGUUAGGGGGCAGCAAUUCAGUGACCCUGUCCAGGACUGGGUCCCUUGCAGAAGGUGAGGUCAGCCAGGGGUGGGGGUGGUGGCUGUGGAAUCCGUUGUCUGGUCUAUAGGGGGUCCCCCUACCGAAGCCCUAACCCUCUCCCCUUCACCACCCCAGUGAUCUCCUGGCCCAGGCUGCUGCCUCCAGCAGCUCCCCAGCCCCCAGGACAGUCCUUCAGGACUCUAGGGGGAGUCCCGUCUACAAGGACGGCUCACCAGUCUCCCGCCACAGCCAGUGAGGAUGGGGUCCUGCAGCCGAAGUGGUGUGUGCCCAGUGUGGUGUCCCUGGCAGGCUGGGAGGGUGCCCCCAGCUGCCAGUUAGUGAGGCUGGGUUAGCACGAGGGCAAGGAGCUUGGAUUCUGGGGCUGACAGCCUGAGCUCAACUCCAGCGCCCCAUCUUGCUGGGGCUCCUCCGCCUGGAGGCGGCUCCUCCACCUGCCUCUGCCUCCGUUUCUGCAGCAGUUGCCUGCCGGACUCCAGCCCGAGGCGGGGGCCACGGCUGACCCAGCUGGAGAACGCCCCACUGGCCCAGUCAGUGCUGUCCUCUGCACCUGAUGGCUUCUCUUGGCAGGGAGGGCUCCCCCGCCCCCGGGCUCUGUGCCAGCCAGAGGUUCCGCAGGAGCUGCUCACUUCCUCCCGCCGGCAGAGGCAGCCUGCGGGGCGGCUCCAACCUGGAGAAACCAAAAUCAGGGCAAGUCCCUGGCUGCUUCCCUGGAAAGCCCCGACGGAGUCCCCGCUCCUUCCCGCCGGUUCUCAGGGUGCUUUAUUUCAGAAGGGGAUUUCUUCCUCCUGAGAAUCUGAUGGCCACAGGGUGCCUGUCACAUGUCCACAUCGGGCCCUCCUGGCUGUCACCAACUUGUCCAACUGUCAGAGGUGUUUGAACCAGAGCGACUCCGUCUUGAAUAGGGGCUGGGUGGAAUGAGGCUGGGGCCUGCUGGACUGCGUUCCCGGGAGGGUAAGGCAUUCUUAGUCACAAGACAGGAGGUUGGCACAAGAUACAAGUCACGAAGACCUUGCCGAUAAAGCAGGUUGCAGUAAAGAAGUGGCCAAAUCCCACCAAAACCAAGAUGGUGACUAGAGUGACCUCUGGUCGUGCUCGCCACUCAUUAUACACAAAUUCUAAUGCAUUAGCUGCUAAGAGACACUCCCACCAGCGCCAUGUCCACAAAUGCCAUGGCAACGUCCGAAAGUUACCCUGCACGGUCUAAAAAGGAGAGGAAGCCUCAGUUCUGGGAAUUGACCACCCUUUCCCAGAAAAUUCAUGAAUAAUCCACUCCUUGUUUAACAUAUAAUCAAGAAAUGACCAAAAUAAGCAUAAGAAUAUUCAGCUGAGCAGCCCAGCCCUCCGCACUGCCUCUGGAGUAGCCAUUCUUUAUUCCUUUACUCUAUUAAUAAACUUCUCACUUGAC
rnacentral:lncRNA from 1 species